rnacentral:misc_RNA from 1 species
GUUAAUUGGCAUGAUCCAGUUUCUGACCUCAUCAGUUGUAGCAUUCAGGCUAACAGCUAAAGCACAAUUGGACUCCUGAAGAAAACGUUUCAAUUGGGGGACAAGCCCACUUGUAGAAAUAGUGACCUUGCGAGGACUGAAAUGAAGACCCUGGUCAUGCACCAUAAUAUCUGCAGCUUUAAUGACGUUUUCAAAGUUCUGAAGUGGCUCUCCCAUGCCCAUAAAUACAACAUUUGUGAUGGAGCCAACUUCACUUGCAACAAGUCGUUGUGCAAAUACAACCUGGUCUACAAUCUCUGCCGUGGUCAGAUGUCUCUUCAACCCCAUCCUGCCAGUGUAGCAGAACUGACAAUUCAUUGCACACCCCAC